rnacentral:rRNA from 1 species
CCUACGGGUGGCUGCAGUGAGGGAUAUUGGUCAAUGGACGAGAGUCUGAACCAGCCAAGUAGCGUGACGGUUGACUGCCCUAUGGGUUGUAAACUUCUUUUAUAUUGGAAUAAAAUGUUCAAAGAUUGGGAUUGUGUAUGUACCAUAUGAAUAAGGAUGGGAUAACGCCGUGCCAGCAGCAGCGGUAAUACGGAGGAUCGGAGCUUUAUCCGGAUUUAUUGGGUUUAAAGGGAGCGUAGGUGGAUUGUUAAGUUAGUUGUGAAAGUUUGCGGCGCAACCGUAAAAUUGCAGUUGAAACUGGCAGUCUUGAGUACAGUAGAGGUGGGCGGAAUGUGUGGUGUAGCGGUGACAUGCUUAGAUAUCACGAAGAACUCCGAUUGCGAAGGCAGUUCACUGGACUGCAACUGACACUGAGGCUCGAAAGUGUGGGUAUCAAACAGGAUUAGAUACCCCAGUAGUC